rnacentral:rRNA from 1 species
GGAUAGGUAGGAGACUAUGAGACUAGGACUUCGGUCUUGGUGGAGUCAUCGUUGGGAUACUACCCUUCGCCUAUCGAGUUUCUAACUAGUGGAAGUGGAUUCCAAAGGACAGUGUCAGAUGGGCAGUUUGACUGGGGCGGUCGCCUCCUAAAGAGUAACGGAGGCGCUCGAAGGUUCGCUCAGAAUGGUUGGAAAUCAUUUGUAGAGUGUAAAGGCAGAAGCGAGCUUGACUGUGAGAGUUACAACUCGAACAGGGACGAAAGUCGGACUUAGUGAUCUUGCGGUACCACGUGGAAGGGCCGUGACUUAACGGAUAAAAGCUACCCUGGGGAUAACAGGCUGAUCAUGCCCAAGCGUUCACAGCGACGGCAUGGUUUGGCACCUCGAUGUCGGCUCGUCGCAUCCUGGAGGUGGAGAAGCUUCCAAGGGUUGGGCUGUUCGCCCAUUAAAGCGGCACGCGAGCUGGGUUCAAAACGUCGUGAGACAGUUUGGUCCCUAUCUGUCGUGGGCGUUGGAAAUUUGAAGAGAGCUGUCCCUAGUACGAGAGGACCAGGAUGGACGUACCGCUGGUGCACCAGUUGGCUUGCCAGAGCCAUAGCUGGGUAGCUAAGUACGGAAAGGAUAAACGCUGAAAGCAUCUAAGCGCGAAGCCUCCUCUAAGAUGAGAUUUCCCAAUUAGUAAGUUCCCUAAUAUACCAUUAGGUUGAUAGGCUGGGUGUGGAAGCAUGGUGACAUGUUUGCGCUGACCAGUACUAAUAGAACGAGGACUUAACCUUA